CUGAAAGCCAGUGGUGCAACCCCAUC
rnacentral:piRNA from 1 species